GGUAAGGUAGGGGUGAGGUGUCCAAAGUUUGUUAUGGAUUUUUUAUUUUUGGAUAAGGGUAGCAAAAUGUGUUGUGGGGUUAUUAUUUCUUUUGUUUUUCUUAGUGGAGGGAUUAUCAAACAGGGUGGGGUGCACGGUAAGGUGAGGUAAAUGGGUAAAUUUGACUUUUCGGAGGGUCAAAUUUACGUGUCUACAAUGGCAACCUUUUUGUUUGUGGGUAAAAUUGGUCUGGGUUUAGUAUUCCACAUUAUUCUCGCUGAUAGUUUUGUUGAAGUGCUUUGUGUGAAUCUACUGAUCUGUUAGGUAAUAGUGACAGUUGGAGUGCCAAUGGUAUUUCUUUUGAGUGAGUUUUCUUCAGGGACGGGGAGAACAUGGCGGCACCAGUGCCUCUUAUCUUUUUAAAUUUUCUUAGUGCUAUAGAGAUUGAAGGAUAAUUAUGGAGGAAGAAGACUUUGGUUGAUAAUAAAGUCUGGCACUACAACCUAACUUUUGCGGGCUGCUAAUACAAAGCAUUGAUACUUUUGGUUUCUGCAUUGUCACUUGCUUCCCAAGUGAUUGCCACAGAAUAAGAAACAAGGAAUGCAACAGCUGUAUUUCUUGUUUAGAGGGGUAGCCUGCUGUGAACCAAUAAGGCGUUGUCGCUCUUGGUUGAUCGCACUGGCUGCUUUGCCAUUGUUGUUACUUGGUUGAGUGCUGCAUGCCAUGCACACCAUCUCGCCCUGUGCUGUCGCUCUUGUGUGCGGCAAUGGACUUUCCAACGCAUGUCUCCGUGACAAUAUUCACCCAGCUGUGCUGCUGACAUAGCUGUCCUGCCCACGUCCUUGUCAUUCAAGUGGCUUACAUGGUGCACCACCCCUGUGCCACCGUAAACGAUGACACCGAUAAAACUGUAUGGCAGAGUUAGAGUGGUGGGUAUGAAUGUUUUUGGCUUCGGUUUUGGUACUUGUUUCCAAGUUCUCUGGAUAAAAGGAAAUAAAUGAACUAAAAGACACCUGUAUUGGUAGUUUAAGAAAUUUAGCUGACAGUGUUUUUCUUUUAAAAUGUGCAUACAUAAUAGUAAUAAGAAAACAGAAAACAUUUAGCCCCGAGAUCUCAUUUGGCCCUGUAUAUUGAUUACACUGUCAAAUAUACAUGACGGAGUUAGGAGUGAAGCACUGGCUGAGCAGUGAUACCCAAUACAUUUCAACUUUUAUGUAAAUGUAAUCGUCAUCCAAAAGUAAUAUGUACAAUAAUUCAGCAGUACAUUAUUAUUCGUAAUUUUCAGGAUAAAUUUCGUUGUUACAGUAGUUUGCAUGUUUAUCCAUAUUUGAUGUUUUUCCUAAUUUUCUGUGAUACCCAAAGAAGCAGGUAAGCAUUGGAAAAACACUAUUCUCAUGAUUAAAUAGUGCUAAAAGUUUUUGGAUUCUUGUCUUAUAUUUUUCCACAGUUGUUAUUUUAUUGUCUCAAGUAGACUCUACUAAGAAAUUGCCAUUGGUUUAUUAAAGGAUAAACAUGACUAGUUUUUUGAUCUCUCUCUCUACCCCCCCUUCUUUUGAUAAGUCUGGUAAUCCCAUGUUUCUGGUCCAUUGAGUAUCUUGGAAGCAGCAGUUCCUUAUCCACCGGGGCUCCGUUUCUUGGCUGCUUGAAUGUUGAUAACCUCUAUCCUACUAAGCACUAAGGAGUGCAUUUGUGGAAAGAGAUGUAAAUUGAUCAUUAUGCAUUUUGACGACUGAAGUACUGUAAGAGCUAGUUCUCUUCUAUUGCUAGCAAGCAGUCUAGGAGUUAGGUGACUGGCUUUGCUCUUAACUGUGCAAUAUUUUUUGUUGAAAUCUGGCCAAGGCCAACAAGUGUGCUUCCUUUUCUUUAAUUCAGCUUAAAAAAGAAAGCUAUUUGUAUGACUGCUAAAAGUCACUGGCUUAGUUGUGUGUUCUGGGAACUCUGAUGAAUCUGCUUGGCCUUUGGAAGGUUGGUUUAUGUUAAUUAUACUUUUGAGGGUAAUGCAUGAUAUCAUCCUAGAAUUUAACUCCUAUUUGAUUUGUAAUUUUAAAUUCUUCUGUUGCAUUUAGUUGUUUUGGAAGAUAAUAAGAUAUAUAUGUGGACUGCACUAGUGAAGUUCACAUGGUUGCUCGAGGUGUAAGUUUUGUUCUUCUUUCUUAUGUUUUGAUUGUUAUGCAGACCGAUUCAGUUCAUCUUGGGGCUAUUCUGGAGGUCUGAGGAACUCAGAUGCUUGUACUCCAGAAUUGAAGACAUCUUUAGAAUGCGACAACCCAAAAGAGUCUGAAUCACCGCGCUUUCAAGCUUUACUCCGGGUGACUAGUGCUCCAAGGAAACGGUUUCCUGCAGAUAUAAAAAGUUUUUCGCAUGAACUGAACUCCAAAGGUGUACGACCUUUUCCAUUCUGGAAACCUCGAGGUUU